GACUCUCGGCAACGGAUAUCUCGGCUCUCGCAUCGAUGAAGAACGUAGCGAAAUGCGAUACUUGGUGUGAAUUACAGAAUCCCGUGAACCAUCGAGUCUUUGAACGUAAGUUGCGCCCCAAUCCAUUAGGCCGAGGGCACGUCUGCCUGGGUGUCA
rnacentral:rRNA from 1 species